rnacentral:rRNA from 1 species
GACGAACGCUGGCGGCGUGCUUAACACAUGCAAGUCGAACGGAAAGGCCCUGCUUGCCGGGUACUCGAGUGGCGAACGGGUGAGUAACACGUGGGUGAUCUGCCCUGCACUUCGGGAUAAGCCUGGGAAACUGGGUCUAAUACCGGAUAGGAGCCAUUUUUAGUGUGAUGGUUGGAAAGUUUUUUCGGUGUAGGAUGAGCUCGCGGCCUAUCAGCUUGUUGGUGGGGUAAUGGCCUACCAAGGCGGCGACGGGUAGCCGGCCUGAGAGGGUGGACGGCCACAUUGGGACUGAGAUACGGCCCAGACUCCUACGGGAGGCAGCAGUGGUGAAUAUUGCACAAUGGGCGCAAGCCUGAUGCAGCGACGCCGCGUGGGGGAUGACGGCCUUCGGGUUGUAAACUCCUUUCGCUAGGGACGAAGCUUUUUGUGACGGUACCUAGAUAAGAAGCACCGGCUAACUACGUG